rnacentral:rRNA from 1 species
UACGUAGGUGGCGAGCGUUAUCCGGAAUGAUUGGGCGUAAAGGGUGCGCAGGCGGUCCUGCAAGUCUGGAGUGAAACGUAUGAGCUCAACUCAUGCAUGGCUCUGGAAACUGGAGGACUGGAGAGCAGGAGAGGGCGGUGGAACUCCAUGUGUAGCGGUGAAAUGCGUAGAGAUAUGGAGGAACACCAGUGGCGAAGGCGGCUUCCUGGUCUGCAACUGACACUGAGGCGCGAAAGCGUGGGGAGCAAACAGG